AGGACGAACGCUGGCGGCGUGCUUAACACAUGCAAGUCGAGCGGAAAGGCCCUUCGGGGUACUCGAGCGGCGAACGGGUGAGUAACACGUGAGUAAUCUGCCCCUAGCUCUGGGAUAGCUCCGGGAAACCGGGAUUAAUACCGGAUAUGACCACUUUAGACAUCUGUUGUGGUGGAAAGAAUUUCGGCUAGGGAUGAGCUCGCGGCCUAUCAGCUUGUUGGUGGGGUAACGGCCUACCAAGGCGACGACGGGUAGCCGGCCUGAGAGGGCGACCGGCCACACUGGGACUGAGACACGGCCCAGACUCCUACGGGAGGCAGCAGUGGGGAAUAUUGCGCAAUGGGCGAAAGCCUGACGCAGCGACGCCGCGUGGGGGAUGAAGGCCUUCGGGUUGUAAACCCCUUUCAGCAGGGACGAAGCGAGAGUGACGGUACCUGCAGAAGAAGCGCCGGCUAACUACGUGCCAGCAGCCGC
rnacentral:rRNA from 1 species